GAUAAACGCUGGCGGUGUGCUUUAUGCAUGUAAGUCGAACGGUCUCGAUUUAUCGGGAUAGUGGCAAACGGGUGAGUAACGCGUAAGUAACCUGUCCCUAAGUAGGGGAUAACUCUGAGAAAUCGGAGCUAAUACCGUAGUGGUGGUGGGGGUAAUGCUUCACCACUAAAGCCUUCGGGUGCUUGGGGAGGGGCUUGCGUCCGAUUAGCUAGUUGGUAAGGUAACGGCCUACCAAGGCUAAGAUCGGUAGCUGGUCUGAGAGGACGAUCAGCCACACUGGGACUGAGACACGGCCCAGACUCCUACGGGAGGCAGCAGCAAGGAAUAUUGUGCAAUGGGCGAAAGCCUGACACAGCGACACCGCGUGGGGGAGGAAGGCCUUCGGGUUGUAAACCCCUUUUCUCAGGGAAGAAUAAUGACGGUACCUGAGGAAUAAGUCUUGGCUAACUACGUGCCAGCAGCCGCGGUAAUACGUAGGAGGCAAGCGUUAUCCGGAUUUAUUGGGCGUAAAGAGGGCGUAGGUGGCUCUUCAAGUCGGAUGUAAAAUCUCCCGGCUUAACUGGGAGGGACCAUUCGAUACUGCUGGGCUAGAGUGCAGCAGAGGGAGGUGGAAUUCCCGGUGGAGUGGUGAAAUGCGUAGAUAUCGGGAGGAACACCAGUGGCGAAGGCGGCCUCCUGGGCUGUUACUGACGCUGAGGCCCAAAAGCGUGGGGAGCGAACAGGAUUAGAUACCCUGGUAGUCCACGCCGUAAACGAUGGACACUAGGUAUGGGGAGUAUCGACCCUUUCCGUGCCGAAGCUAACGCAUUAAGUGUCCCGCCUGGGGAGACGGUCGCAAGACU
rnacentral:rRNA from 1 species